AGACCUUAAAUCCAAAAUAUUACAAACAAGGUUUUUAGCAAAAACAAAAUUGUUAAACUAAAAAUGAAAUUCUUUAUGAUAUUAACUAUUUUCUUGGCAUAUUUUGUCUACAACGGAUUAUGCAAUGUUUCUCCCCUUCGUUCACAACCUAUCAAUUAUGAUGCUCAAAACGGUAGAAAUCGUGGUGGUUCAACCACAGUAGACGUGAAUCCGUUUAAUAGUGCUGUAUCUUCAAGCAGCUCGAACCCAACUACCCGACAAACGGUCGAUGAAAGUCGUUAAUCGUCGCCGUUUAUAUGGUUUUGGUUUGGUAAUCUAUUUAAUAUUUUCCUAUAAUAUAAAAAAAAAUUAAUCUUCAGUGAUAAUUUAAUUUUGAAAAUAACAUACUUUUUU